rnacentral:rRNA from 1 species
GACGAACGCUGGCGGCGUGCUUAACACAUGCAAGUCGAACGGAAAGGCCCUGCUUUUGUGGGGUGCUCGAGUGGCGAACGGGUGAGUAACACGUGAGUAACCUGCCCUUGACUUUGGGAUAACUUCAGGAAACUGGGGCUAAUACCGGAUAGGAGCUCCUGCUACAUGGUGGGGGUUGGAAAGUUUCGGCGGUUGGGGAUGGACUCGCGGCUUAUCAGCUUGUUGGUGGGGUAGUGGCUUACCAAGGCUUUGACGGGUAGCCGGCAUGAGAGGGUGGCCGGGGACCUGGCGCCUGCGGGAGGGAGCAGUGGGGUACGGGGGGCAAGCGGGGGAAGCCUGGUCCAGUGAGGGGGAGCGCAAUGCGGCGGCCUUGGGGUCGGGAUGUGGGUUUUCGGGGUGUAAAACGGUUUGGGGUAUGACGCAGGGUGAGUGACGGUAAUGUGUGAAGAAGCACCGGCUAACUACGUG